UACCUCGGGAAACCGGGGCUAAUACCGGAUAAUACAUGAAACCGCAUGGUUUCAUGAUGAAAGACGGUUUUGCUGUCACUUAUAGAUGGACCCGCGGCGUAUUAGCUAGUUGGUAAGGUAACGGCUUACCAAGGCAACGAUACGUAGCCGACCUGAGAGGGUGAUCGGCCACACUGGAACUGAGACACGGUCCAGACUCCUACGGGAGGCAGCAGCC
rnacentral:rRNA from 1 species